AUUUCCUUUCGGCAAUUUAGCGAAGCCACAACAUAAUCAUCGAGCAAUACCGGUUUCGUCUUCCUCCUGAUAGGUCAACUUGAGUGCUUGGAUCUUGAAAAAUACUCUUGGGCGAUGAAAGCAACGAGAAGCAUCAAUGAGAAACCGUCAACCGCCGGGUUGAAGGUCAUUCAUUCAAAGGAUGGGCGUGUCAUCGGCUGCAGUCGACCCAAACAAACUAGUCUAUAAAAAUAGCUGGUUUACUCAAACCGUAUGGAAACAAUCCAACUGAGUAAAUGAUGAAUUACUCCGUGAAUUAAUUGUUUAUAGAUUCAAGACUUGAAAUAGACUAUGAGAAAGGCAAGAAAAAUCGAUAUAAUUUGUGUUGAAAGGACUUUGAACGAACAGAAAACUAAGCAAUAACGUACUGAAAGCUUUCUUCAAGUUUGUUUGCUAUUGGGAUCAGGUUUUGCGACGGGGUGAAUAUUUGCGGCGCGCGUUCUACUCCAUCCAAACGACAAUGUCCAUGAGAUUUCAUGGUAGAUAUGCACGAAGGUUGGAAUUUCCUGCUCUGAUAAAAACUCAGAUGCAUUUAAAGAAGGCAGAAAACAGUACAUCAGCAAAUACCGAAAUAUGGCUAUGAUAUUUAUAGCAACUGCCGAUAAAAAGCGUAAGGCAUUUGUGAAUGCUUUCCGUACUUUAGUCCAUGCCUAACAUUUGUAACUUAACGGGUUUCGCUUAAAUAAAAUUGUUAAACGCUCAAUUAAAGGCGAUGAUAUUGA